GGUUGAACUGCCUGUUGUUGUUUUUGGAAUACUGAAGAACAGUUUUAACAGGUUAAACUCUUGCCACAAGGCAAAAUUGACAUCGAUGGGAAGAUCCUUUGGAAAGAAUGUGCAUCAUCGCCUGCCUGAUGUAUGGACUUUUAAACCUGGUUUUUACCCUGCACAAGCUGGUAAACUUGAGGGGAACAAGAGUGGGAAAACCUCGCCCUGUCCUUGACCAAGAAAGCUCGAUUUGUUGAGAGAUCAACUGGCAUAAGAGAUGCUCAAGAGGAGAAGGACACAAGCAGCAUCAAUGGUACAACUACAUGUCGCUCCAGCGCCCGCUUUCCAGGUCUCUACCAGCUGCUUUCCAGGUCCCUCCACCUGCCAAGAUCAGGUCUAGGUCCCUGCACUGGCUGCUUUCCAGGUCCCCUAGCGGUCAAGGUCUCUCCAGUAGCUGCUGUGCAGGUCCCAACACCGUAUGCCGUCAAGGUCCCUCCAUAAGCUGAAAUCUAGGUUCCUCAUUCCACUGCGGUUCAGGUACCUCCAACAGCUGAGAUCCAGGUC